AUGGCGUCCGUGAAGCUCGCCGCCGUCCUCUUGGCGUGCGCCGCGCUCAUGGCGACGGCGGCGGCGUACGCGCCGUACCGGCCGGAGCCCGAGCCCUGCAAGACGCAGGCCAUGUACUUCAAGAACUGCCUCCUCCUCGUGAGCGAGUGCGAGAAGUGCUGCACGGGCGUGGUGGCCGACCCCGCGUGCUACUGCGAGGUGGAGCGGGAGGCGUUGAUCGACUGCGCGCCCGGCCACCACUGCAGCCGCGCCGACAAGAAGAUCAAGAUCGCCGAGAUGAACCUCUCCUGCAUGAAGAACCUCAAGUGCAAGCAUGCGUGA
rnacentral:rRNA from 1 species